GAUACUUAUCAAUACUCCCCUUUUGAAGUAUCACCUUGUCCUCAAGGUGGAAGGAAAUGAAACUCUGCCAGUACAUUGCCUUGUUUGCCCGUGCAUCAGCCUUUGUUGUAGCUUCGAGAAUGUCUGCACCUUCAGUCUUUAACUUGAUGGAGAAGAUCUCAUUAAAGUCCUUAUGAGUAAUCUCAAACUGCUUCCGUUCGUUCUCUUCAACUUGUAUCUCUCACGCAGUUGUGUUCUCAAUUAUUGAGACCAACUUUGAAAAGAACAGCUCCAAAAGCUUGCCAUCACUGGAAACUCUGUUUCGGAAUCUUGAUACUUUCCCCAAGAAUGCAAACUGUAAGAGAGGGUCCUUAGACAGUGACUUCCAAACAUGAGUGCUACACGUUUUCUUCUUCAUGUCAAACGGUCUAUUCUCCACUGUCAUAUCUAUAUUUUGGGCUUCACGGGUUGCUCUAAGGUUCUCCUGUUCCUGCCAUUCUCCAAACAACAGUUCAGGUGGCCGUGACG